rnacentral:lncRNA from 1 species
GGGGUAAGUCGAAAAAAUUCCUCUGUUUUGUUAACCUCUCAGUCUCUGAACCUUAUGAGUCUUCCCUUCCUGGACAGAUAUCUUUGUCUGGUCUGUUGAACUUUGUAGACGGGCUUUGGUCGAGCUGCGGAGAAGAAAGAAUCAUAAUUUUCACAACCAAUCACAAGGAGAAGCUCGACCCGGCGUUGCUGAGGCCAGGAAGAAUGGACGUUCAUAUUCACAUGGACUAUUGCACGCCCUAUGUGUUCAAGAAGCUUGUGGCUAUGUACCUCAAGACUAAUGACCAUGUCCUGUUUGAUCCCAUCGAGAAGCUCGUCCUUGAGGUGAGUGUAACUCCGGCUGAAAUCACGCAGCAGCUCA